AGCAAGUCGUGUAUCUAUCAGGCCUUAUAUAGGAACUGGCAAUGAACCUUAAAAAACUAAAACCUAAAAGUCGGUCAAUUAAAAGUGAUUUUUCAGAACUUGGCUACAAGAUCCAGACAUAACCUAUUAAUGAUAGGUUUUGACUUUGUU
rnacentral:sRNA from 1 species